CGGUGGAUGAUGUGGUUAAUUCGAUGCAACGCGAAAACCUUACCCACCUUUGACAUGGCAGGAAUCCUAAAGAGAUUUGGAGUGCUCGAAAGAGAACCUGCACACAGGUGCUGCAUGGCUGUCGUCAGCUCGUGUCGUGAGAUGUUGGGUUAAGUCCCGCAACGAGCGCAACCCUUGCCAUUAGUUGCUACGAAAGGGCACUCUAAUGGGACUGCCGGUGACAAACCGGAGGAAGGUGGGGAUGACGUCAAGUCCUCAUGGCCCUUAUAGGUGGGGCUACACACGUCAUACAAUGGCCGGUACAGAGGGUAGCCAACCCGCGAGGGGGGAGCCAAUCCCACAAAGCCGGUCGUAGUCCGGAUCGCAGUCUGCAACUCGACUGCGUGAAGUCGGAAUCGCUAGUAAUCGCGGAUCAGCAUGUCGCGGUGAAUACGUUCCCGGGUCUU
rnacentral:rRNA from 1 species